AACAUGCUGAGGAGCUGCAAAUGGGCAAGAGUGCGUUGCUGAACACAUUAGACAAUAAGCAAAGAACAGAGCCAGACGCAGAGACAUCACGCACAGACACAGCCAUUAGACCCAUAACGGCAUUGUCAUCAAAAGAAAAACAAUACAAACUAACAACACUGAUAAGGAUAAGUGGAAGGGAAUGGAUGGAUAGGUGGACAAAGAUGCUCACCCACAUUGAUAUGACUGAAAUUCUGAAGGCUAUUCAACAUUGCAACAAUGAAAAUAAUUACUCUUUCACAUCAGAGAAAGACAAAGACUCCAGACCCUCUUACUAACCACAUCCAAAGGAUCUUCCAGGAAUGGUGAUGGUAUUUUUCCUGAGAACUUAUUGUUCAGCAGGUCCACAAGCGUGCGCUGCUCCAGAUGAGGCUCCAGA